rnacentral:misc_RNA from 1 species
CGCAUUGAUCGUAUCUAUGGAUUAGCGGAUACGCUCACAUAUGAGCGUAAUUGUGAGGCCCUGAUGCUGCUUCAGAAGAAUGGUCUACAUAAGAAAAAACCCUCAAUUGCUGUUGUGGCUAACCUAUUCUGGGGCGAUGCAUGGUUGGAGGAGAAUCAUUUAGCAGACUGGGAUGAAGCAGAUUUGGAUGGAUCUUUGGGUGGUACAAUGUUUGAUAAUUCACAGCAGAAGGCCAUUGCCUUAGGAUUGAACAAGAAACGGCCAUUAUUGAUAAUUGAAGGGCCUCCUGGUACGGGAAAGUCAGGUUUGCUCAAGGAAAUUAUUUUACGUGCUGUUCAACAAGGUGAAAGGGUGCUUGUGACAGCACCUACAAAUGCAGCUGUUGACAAUAUGGUUGAAAAGCUUUCAAAUAUAGGGUUAGACAUUGUGCGGGUUGGUAAUCCAGCACGUAUUUCUUCAGCUGUGGCAUCAAAGUCUUUGAGUGAAAUAGUUAAUUCUAAGCUUGCAACAUUCCGGAUGGAGUUUGAAAGGAAAAAGUCUGAUCUGAGAAAAGACCUGAGACAUUGUUUAGAGGAUGAUUCUUUAGCUGCUGGCAUUCGUCAGCUUUUAAAACAGCUUGGGAAGACAUUGAAGAAGGAGGAGAAGGAGACUGUGAAGGAG